rnacentral:lncRNA from 1 species
GGGUGCGUUUGGUUUGCAUUAUGAAAGAUUACUAGGAAUAAAAGAUAUCCGAGAAUCUUAUUCCUAUUCAUUCUAUUACUAAGAAUGUGGAUUUUCUAUGUUUGGUUCGCACGGUAAUAUUAAUUAGCCAUAUUAUUUAAUAUUACAAAAAAUAUACAAUUUAUUUAUUUAUUUAUUUAUUUAAAUUUAGAUAAUGUUACCAAAAGUUUCAACAUCUUUUUAGAAAAAAAGAAGAGAGAGUAUAAGUUAGAGAGAGAGAGUAUAAUUAAAAAAAUAGAAAGAAAAAUAUAAUCGAAAUUAGAGGGAGUAAGAGAGUUGAAAUUUUAGAAAGAGAGAGAGAGAGAGAGAGAGAAAGCUUAGUUUAGAGAGAGAAAAAAAGUUGAAUUUUAGAGAGAAAAAUAAGUUUAGAGAGAGAUAUAAGGUUAGAGUGUAACAAAAAAUAAUAUCAAUUAGCCGACAAAUAGAAAGAAAGAAAGAGAUUAAACAUAUUAUGAUUAUUCCAAUCCAUUAAUAUGAGAAUACUUACCCUCCCUCCCUCAAGGAAAUGAGAUUAGUACUUUGGGGUGAAUCUUAUUCCCAAGUGAAUCCAAUAUUACCAACUAGAUUAGUUAGUGCGUUUAGCCAAACACAGUCAUAUUUUUUUAUUCUUAAACUGUGAAAUUAUUUAAGAGUUAAAAGAACGCGUGAUCUUUUAUAGAAAAACUUUACACAAUCGUUUAGCUGUUAUGUCGCGCCUCUCGAACUCCGAACCCCGCCGGCGACGGUCCAGCCCCGCCGCCGAGCUUCCUGGCACGCCGACUCUUAUAUCGCACAUCGCCGACCGUCCUACCCCGCAGCGACCGUCCUGCGCCUCCGACGCUUCACUUGCAUUUGGAGGGGACGUCGAUCUUUUGCACUUUUAAGUUCAGAUUAUAUUAAGAAAUGAAAAAAAUAAAAUUUUGACUGGUUAAGGAGAGGUUGCAUUGAAACGAGCCUAGCGAUGCACUGUUAGAAGAGAAGUUGCACCUUUUUUUUCUGGCGUUGUACUUUGCGUUGCACUAUUAUCCCUAUUGCGGGCCGUGCAGAUUUUGUCAUUUAUCUUGAGUAAUUGUAUUAAAGUCUUAGAACCGAACAGGAAACAGCGGGACCGGCGAAUAGCUACGACGGAUGUUGUCCGGGUUCCGAGAAAUGAGCGAGAUUGCGUAAUGCGGAAGCGGGGCAUUUAAUGCGCGCCAGACCGUACGGCAGGAUAGUAGGAUAGUAUACGUAUGUCAAGAAAUACGCGGGAGGCUAUUGUAUAGGAGAGGCAUUUUGGUGAGACGGCAGAAAAAAAGAACCGAAUCUGCAAAAACGAAAAAGAUGACCCGAUUUUAUAAAUGCCGAAAAUAAGUAA